GAGACUAUACUUUCAGGGGCCAUUUCUAUAGUAUAUUACUAAAGAAUUGUGGCUGAAAGUAGAUUUCAGAAUUGAUGGUGAGUGAGCAGAACCAUGAGAACA
ensembl:snoRNA U3 Small nucleolar RNA U3